rnacentral:rRNA from 1 species
UACGUAGGGUGCAAGCGUUAAUCGGAAUUACGGGGCGUAAAGCGUGCGCAGGCGGUUUUGUAAGUCUGUCGUGAAAGCCCCGGGCUCAACCUGGGAAUUGCGAUGGAGACUGCAAGGCUUGAAUCUGGCAGAGGGGGGUAGAAUUCCACGUGUAGCAGUGAAAUGCGUAGAGAUGUGGAGGAACACCGAUGGCGAAGGCAGCCCCCUGGGUCAAGAUUGACGCUCAUGCACGAAAGCGUGGGGAGCAAACAGG